rnacentral:tRNA from 1 species
GCUAUAGCCAAGUGGUAAGGCAGCGGAUUUUGAUUCCGUCAUUCGUUGGUUCGAAUCCAGCUAGC